UGCAAGUCGUACGAGAGUUUUUAACUCAAGUGGCGGACGGGUGAGUAACACGUAAGAAUUUGCCUUUAGGAGGGGGACAACAACUGGAAACGGUUGCUAAUACCCCAUAUGCUUUCGAGUGAAAUGGAAUUUCCGCCUAAAGAGAAGCUUGCGGCUGAUUAGCUUGUUGGUGAGGUAAUGGCUCACCAAGGCGACGAUCAGUAUCUGGUUUGAGAGGAUGAUCAGACACACUGGAACUGAGACACGGUCCAGACUCCUACGGGAGGCAGCAGUGGGGAAUUUUCCGCAAUGGGCGAAAGCCUGACGGAGCAAUACCGCGUGAGGGAUGAAGGCUCAUGGGUUGUAAACCUCCUUUUUCAGGGAGGAAUUCAUGACGUGUACCUGAAGAAUAAGCAUCGGCUAACUCCGUGCCAGCAGGCGCGGUAAGACGGAGGAUGCAAGUGUUAUCCGGAAUCACUGGGCGUAAAGCGUCUGUAGGUGGUUUAACAAGUCAACUGUUAAAUCUUGAAGCUCAACUUCAAAAUCGCAGUCGAAACUAUUAGACUAGAGUAUAGUAGAGGUAAAGGGAAUUUCCAGUGGAGCGGUGAAAUGCGUAGAGAUUGGAAAGAACACCGAUGGCGAAAGCACUUUACUGGGCUAUUACUGACACUGAGAGACGAAAGCUAGGGUAGCAAAUGGGAUUAGAUACCCCAGUAGUCCU
rnacentral:rRNA from 1 species